rnacentral:rRNA from 1 species
UAAUACAUCGGAACGUACCUCGUAGUGGGGGAUAACCCGGCGAAAGCCGGACUAAUACCGCAUAUGCUCUACGGAGGAAAGUGGGGGACCCAGCAGGCAACUGAGGGGCCUCACGCUAUGGGAGCGGCCGAUGUCCGAUUAGCUUGUUGGCGGGGUAAAGGCCCACCAAGGCGACGAUCGGUAGCUGGUCUGAGAGGAUGAUCAGCCACACUGGGACUGAGACACGGCCCAG